rfam:Melipona quadrifasciata isolate 0111107301 unplaced genomic scaffold scaffold86, whole genome shotgun sequence.
UAAACGGCCCUUUUCAGGGCCACCAAUAAGUCUUUACCAAAGGAAU